rnacentral:rRNA from 1 species
CCCUUAGAUGUUCUGGGCUGCACGCGUGCUACACUGAUAUUGCCAAUAUGUCAUUCUUAUCCGAAAUGGAUUGGGUAAUCAAGUAAUGAAAUUUCAUGCUUGGAAUCGGUAAUUGCAAUUUUAUCGUGAACGAGGAAUUCCUAGUAAGCGCAAGUCAACAGCUUGCGUUGAUUACGUCCCUGCCCUUUGUACACACCGCCCGUCGCUACUACUGAUUGGAUGUUUAAGCGAGGUUCUCGAACUGCUAGCGACUUAGCUUCGGUGAGGUCGCAGUGUGGGAAGUGAACCUAGCUUUGGUGUCUAGAGGAAGUAAAAGUCGUAACA